rnacentral:misc_RNA from 1 species
UCGAGUUGUAAAACUCCCAAACCCAUGUGAAUAUACCUCUGUUGCCUCGGUGGACCUGCCCGGUAGUUACCCUGUAGUUACCCUGUAGCCCACCGACGGACCACAAAACUCGUUAUUUUUAAUGUUAUCUGAGCGUCUUAUUUUAAUAAGUCA